CCUUAUGGCCAUACCAGUUUGAAAGUGCUUGAUCUCGUCAGAUCUCAGAAGUCAUGCAGACUUGGGUCUGCUUAGUACUUGUAUGGGAGACCAACUAUGAACCUCAGGUGCCGUAAGCU
rnacentral:rRNA from 1 species